UACGAAGGGGGCUAGCGUUGCUCGGAAUUACUGGGCGUAAAGGGCGCGUAGGCGGCACUGUUAGUCAGGCGUGAAAUUCCUGGGCUCAACCUGGGGACUGCGCUUGAUACUGGCACGCUCGAGUUCGGGAGAGGAUGGUGGAAUUCCCAGUGUAGAGGUGAAAUUCGUAGAUAUUGGGAAGAACACCGAUGGCGAAGGCAGCCAUCUGGACCGACACUGACGCUGAGGCGCGAAAGCGUGGGGAGCAAACAGG
rnacentral:rRNA from 1 species